AUGCUAGCUUCAGCAGCACAUAUACUAAACUUGGAACAAUACAGAAAAGAUUAGCAUGGCCCCUGCACAAGGAUGACACGCAAGUUUGUGAAGCGUUUCAUUAUCUU